UACGUAGGUGGUUUUCUAAGUACGGGGUUUAAGGCAAUGGCUUAACCAUUGUUCGCCUUGUGAACUGGAAGACUUGAGUGCAGGAGAGGAAAGCGGAAUUCCUAGUGUAGCGGUGAAAUGCGUAGAUAUUAGGAGGAACACCAGUGGCGAAGGCGGCUUUCUGGACUGUAACUGACACUGAGGUACGAAAGCGUGGGGAGCAAACA
rnacentral:rRNA from 1 species